AAUGGAGGUAGUAGGUGGAAAUGGUCUGGUUCUGCUGCUCGAUAAAGCGGAAGGCUGGGAAGCUGAAGCGAGCCCUCUGACUGUUUCCAUUCUCCAACAUGGUGGUGAACAGAUCCUUCGAGCACCUUUUGAGAAAAGCAAUUACAGUAUUCAUACCUGGACGCCUGAAGGAAGAUCCACAGUCAGAACCAGAAAGAGCCAGGUGGCCUUGAACCAUCGCACCCAAAAUCAAGAGGCUGAGUAGAACCAUGUCAGCUAUCUGCUCUUCAUAAAUGUCCAAAAAACGACCAAUAAAUGACCCUCUGCACCCCAGAGAAAAUCUUGAAGAGCUCCUGAAGAUUUCAGUGCGCUCAUGGUCCAAGAAUGAAGGUCAUCUGAAGCUGGGGUUCCAGACCCCUGUCAGACUAGAAGGGCUGGGCUUCCUGAGCAGCCUGAGGGAGAGGAUGAAGAGUCCCAGGCUCGUCACACCCAGCACAACCACACCUGAUAUCAAGGCACUGGUUACAGCAUUCAGAUGCUGGGAGGAACUGCUCACUGCAGAGGCACAGAGAGGGGGGUGAAUGGGUGCAUUAAACAGACUAUACAGCUGAGGAUUGGGGCUCUCACCACUCCUAGUGAUUAUGGGACCUGCGGUUAUGAUGGCAUCCCCUGAGGAUGAACCUGAUACUACAUGUUCAUCCACAGUGUCUCUCCUCCUGCGUUUUCCACAGAUCUGCCAUGAGAGAUAUUACACUCAGUGCUCUCAUUCAGUUUGGACACUUAAAAUACACUAUUAGCCAUUAAAUAUUUCAGCAUUAAGUCUGUUUACCGGCAUUAGUAUUGCACAGUCAUCUGCUCGACACAGCUUUGUGACACAAUGCAGAAAGACAGUGGACAUCUUCUGGUUCUUAUGUUUCACAAAACGAAAGACUUCGAAUGCAAAGCGGCCCAUUUGACUUUUUCCAUUCUCAAAAACAGUUGUCUGUGGAUCCUUGUAGCACCUAUUUAAACACCCACCACCAAAAUAAGGGCUUUAUUAAACAUCAAACCUGACGAUAAAGUGAUUACCUUCUCUCAUACCCAAACAAACACACAUGCAAACGUGCACACACACUCACACACAAAUCAUUUCCUCUAAAAGGCCUUUGUGCAUUGUAUUGUAGUCAGUUGAGCAGGUAAUGAGGACUCACCGAGUUAAUGCGCACAUAAUUUCAGAAAAUACUAAAUUACCCAAAGAAAAGGUCAUAGCGUAUCUCAUCAUUAGGGUUCCCAGAGGGGGUGGCGUAACAGUGAUCCAUCAGAACAUUCCACCUGUGGGGAAAACAUAGUCAUUUCUGCUAUUAAUGGGAAUUGAAUCUCUAAUCUCAAGAAGAAAAAAAGAAUUAGUUAAUAGGGGCUCAAGAUCUGAAUAUUUACCCAAGAAGAGAAUAUUUCUCACAAUUCAUUUUUUUCUCAUAAAAUCUCACACUUACUUAUACUAGUAGUAAUGCCACAAUUUAUACUAGUAAUCUGUCUUUACACAAGAUAACAAAACAUUUUGAUGAUAAAUAAUUUUUACAAAAAAAUAAAUCUAUAGUGUUUCAUAUAUAAAAUAUAAAACAUAUAUUUCUCUGUAUGAUAUACCUCCUGUCCAGAUUUGUAGCUUUAACUGCAGCAAACACACGAGUCUUCAAGGACAGGCCAGACAUUGGUAUAGAAAUCAACUGACUGAAUGUUGAAUCCUGUAAAAUAUGAGAAAGAAAAUUAGCUUUACUGUAAUGGCGGUCUAAGCCAUUCUUCAUUACACAAACAUGCCAUUUUUACGUUUUAAUUUAACUUUGAGAACCAUAUACACAUUUUUGUACACAUCUACAAUAUGAAAGUGACAAUAAUAAAAAUGUAUAAUCUUAACAA